GAGAUACCGUUCCGGUGGCGUUGUGGUUAGAACAUCCGCCUGGUAUGCGGGAGGUCGUGGGUUCGAUCCCUGGUCGAGUCA